rnacentral:rRNA from 1 species
AUGUCACCGGCAGAGCCGACGCGAGACGAGAGCGUCUACAUGGCCAAGCUUGCGGAGCAGGCCGAGCGCUACGAGGAGAUGGUGGAGUUCAUGGAGCGCGUCGCGAAGGCCACCGGCGGGGCAGGGCCCGGGGAGGAGCUAUCCGUUGAGGAGCGCAACCUGCUCUCUGUGGCUUACAAGAAUGUCAUCGGGGCCCGGCGCGCGUCCUGGAGGAUCAUCUCCUCCAUCGAGCAGAAGGAGGAAGGUCGGGGCAACGACGCGCACGCCGCCACCAUCCGCUCCUACCGCAGCAAGAUCGAGGCCGAGCUCGCAAAGAUCUGCAACGGCAUCCUCGCCCUGCUUGAUUCCCACCUCGUGCCAUCCGCCGGAGCUGCCGAGUCCAAAGUCUUCUAUCUCAAGAUGAAGGGCGACUACCACAGGUACCUUGCAGAGUUUAAGUCCGGUGAGGAGAGGAAGGAAGCCGCCGAGAGCACCAUGAACGCGUACAAAGCUGCUCAGGAUAUCGCCCUAGCAGAUUUGGCUCCAACCCACCCCAUCAGGCUUGGGCUUGCACUCAACUUUUCUGUGUUCUACUAUGAGAUCUUGAACUCCCCUGACCGCGCCUGCAACCUUGCGAAACAAGCCUUUGAUGAGGCUAUAUCAGAGCUGGACAGCUUAGGCGAGGAAUCCUACAAGGACAGCACUUUAAUCAUGCAGCUCCUGCGUGACAAUUUGACUCUAUGGACAUCCGACACCAAUGAGGAUGACGUUGAUGAGAUUAAGGAAGCCCCAGUUCCAAAAGAAUCUGGAGACGGACAGUGA